rnacentral:rRNA from 1 species
AGCGAACGCUGGCGGCAGGCCUAACACAUGCAAGUCGAACGGAUCCUUCGGGAUUAGUGGCGGACGGGUGAGUAACACGUGGGAACGUGCCCUUUGGUUCGGAACAACUCAGGGAAACUUGAGCUAAUACCGGAUGUGCCCUUCGGGGAAAGAUUUAUCGCCAUUGGAGCGGCCCGCGUCUGAUUAGCUAGUUGGUGAGGUAAAGGCUCACCAAGGCGACGAUCAGUAGCUGGUCUGAGAGGAUGAUCAGCCACAUUGGGACUGAGACACGGCCCAAACUCCUACGGGAGGCAGCAGUGGGGAAUCUUGCGCAAUGGGGCGAAAGCCUGACGCAGCCAUGCCGCGUGAAUGAUGAAGGUCUUAGGAUUGUAAAUUCUUUCACCGGGGACGAUAAUGACGGUACCCGGAGAAGAAGCCCCGGCUAACUUCGUGCCAGCAGCCGCGGUAAU